rnacentral:rRNA from 1 species
UUAAGUGAAUAAGGGCGCACGGUGGAUGCCUUGGCACUAGGAGCCGAUGAAGGACGGGACUAACACCGAUAUGCUUUGGGGAGCUGUAAGUAAGCUAUGAUCCAGAGAUUUCCGAAUGGGGGAACCCAAUAUCUUUUAUAGGAUAUUACUUUUCAGUGAAUACAUAGCUGAUUAGAGGUAGACGCAGAGAACUGAAACAUCUUAGUACCUGCAGGAAGAGAAAGAAAAAUCGAUUCCCUGAGUAGCGGCGAGCGAAACGGGAAGAGCCCAAACCAACAAGCUUGCUUGUUGGGGUUGUAGGACUCCAAUAUGGUAGUCUGUUAGUAUAGUUGAAGGAUUUGGAAAAUUCCGCUAAAGAGGGUGAAAGCCCCGUAGACGAAAUGCUAACAACACCUAGGAGGAUCCUGAGUACGGCGGAACACGAGAAAUUCCGUCGGAAUCCGCGGGGACCAUCCCGCAAGGCUAAAUACUCCCUAGUGACCGAUAGUGAACCAGUACCGUGAGGGAAAGGUGAAAAGCACCCCGGAAGGGGAGUGAAAUAGAUCCUGAAACCGUGUGCCUACAACAAGUCAAAGCUCGUUAAUGAGUGAUGGCGUGCCUUUUGUAGAAUGAACCGGCGAGUUACGAUUGCAUGCGAGGUUAAGUCGAAGAGACGGAGCCGCAGCGAAAGCGAGUCUGAAUAGGGCGAAUGAGUAUGUAGUCGUAGACCCGAAACCAUGUGAUCUACCCAUGUCCAGGUUGAAGGUGCGGUAAAACGCACUGGAGGACCGAACCCACGUACGUUGAAAAGUGCGGGGAUGAGGUGUGGGUAGCGGAGAAAUUCCAAACGAACUUGGAGAUAGCUGGUUCUCUCCGAAAUAGCUUUAGGGCUAGCCUCGGAAUUGAGAAUGAUGGAGGUAGAGCACUGUUUGGACUAGGGGCCCAUCUCGGGUUACCGAAUUCAGAUAAACUCCGAAUGCCAUUCAUUUAUAUCCGGGAGUCAGACUGCGAGUGAUAAGAUCCGUAGUCGAAAGGGAAACAGCCCAGACCACCAGCUAAGGUCCCAAAAUAUAUGUUAAGUGGAAAAGGAUGUGGGGUUGCACAGACAACUAGGAUGUUGGCUUAGAAGCAGCCACCAUUUAAAGAGUGCGUAAUAGCUCACUAGUCGAGUGACCCUGCGCCGAAAAUGUACCGGGGCUAAACAUAUUACCGAAGCUGUGGACUACACCAUUAGGUGUAGUGGUAGGAGAGCGUUCUAAGGGCGUUGAAGGUCGAUCGUGAGGACGGCUGGAGCGCUUAGAAGUGAGAAUGCCGGUAUGAGUAGCGAAAGACAGGUGAGAAUCCUGUCCACCGUAUGACUAAGGUUUCCUGGGGAAGGCUCGUCCGCCCAGGGUUAGUCGGGACCUAAGCCGAGGCCGAUAGGCGUAGGCGAUGGACAACAGGUUGAUAUUCCUGUACCAGUUGUUUUUGUUUGAACAAUGGAGGGACGCAGUAGGCUAAGGAAUGCAUGCGAUUGGAAGUGCAUGUCCAAGCAAUGAGUCUUGAGUAGAGUUAAAUGCUUUACUCUUUAAGGACAAGUUGUGACGGGGAGCGAAAUAAUAGUAGCGAAGUUCCUGAUGUCACACUGCCAAGAAAAGCUUCUAGUGAGAAAACAACUGCCCGUACCGUAAACCGACACAGGUAGUCGAGGAGAGUAUCCUAAGGUGAGCGAGCGAACUCUCGUUAAGGAACUCGGCAAAAUGACCCCGUAACUUCGGGAGAAGGGGUGCUGACUUCGGUCAGCCGCAGUGAAUAGGCCCAAGCGACUGUUUAUCAAAAACACAGGUCUCUGCAAAAUCGUAAGAUGAAGUAUAGGGGCUGACGCCUGCCCGGUGCUGGAAGGUUAAGAGGAUGGGUUAGCUUCGGCGAAGCUCAGAAUUGAAGCCCCAGUAAACGGCGGCCGUAACUAUAACGGUCCUAAGGUAGCGAAAUUCCUUGUCGGGUAAGUUCCGACCCG